GGAUCAAUUCGCUGGUCGUGCCUCUGGUACGUACUGGUAUUAUUGGUUUCUCCCUUCUGACGAACCAUGAUGUCAUUUAUUUGGUGUUGUGGGGAAUCAGGACUGUUACUUUGAAAAAAUUAGAGUGUUUAAAGCAGGCUCACGCUUGAAUACAUUAGCAUGGAAUAAUGAAAUAGGACGUGCGGUUCUAUUUUGUUGGUUUCUAGAGUCGCCGUA
rnacentral:rRNA from 1 species